CCGAGGCGGGAUCUGUGAGGGAAUAUAAAGACCUCUCCCUCUCACCGGCCUCACUCACAUUGACACAGGAGCGGCAGAGAAGAUGAAGACAACCUCCUGCUUAUUGCUCGCAGUUCUCACUGUCUUCCUUCUGAUCCAUUCCAUCGACUGUGAGGAGGAGCUCACUUUCUGCAAGACGGUGUACGGAGCGUGCAGAGAAGAGCCAUGCUAUGAGCACGAGGUCGAAAAACCUGGUGACUGCGAUAUCCACAAGUGUUGUGAGAUCUUUCCCGUCUCAUAGAAGGGGCAAGACGUCUGGAAGAUUCUCCAGGACUCCAGCGGUGGGCUCCCCCCCCAACUUGUGAUGUCACCGUCCACAAUGUGUGAUUAAAGCCUGCUUCCCCACCA